UACGUAGGGGGCAAGCGUUAUCCGGAUUUACUGGGCGUAAAGGGUGCGUAGGCGGCCGAUUAAGUCAGAUGUGAAAUACCAUGGCUCAACCAUGGGGGUGCAUUUGAAACUGGUUGGCUUGAGUGCAGGAGAGGAAAGCGGAAUUCCUAGUGUAGCGGUGAAAUGCGUAGAGAUUAGGAGGAACACCAGUGGCGAAGGCGGCUUUCUGGACUGUAACUGACGCUGAGGCACGAAAGCGUGGGGAGCAAACAGG
rnacentral:rRNA from 1 species